ensembl:snoRNA small nucleolar RNA, C/D box 53
GUGCUAUGAUGACAUCCAUAUAUGGUUUCGCUUCUGGCUGAGUUCCAGAGAUGACACCUUUCUCUUGGCUGUCUGAGCGU